rnacentral:rRNA from 1 species
CGUGCGCAGGCGGUUAUAUAAGUCAGAUGUGAAAUCCCCGGGCCUCAACCUGGGAACUGCAUUUGAGACUGUAUGGCUAGAGUGUGUCAGAGGGGGGUAGGAAUUCCACGUGUAGCAGUGAAAUGCGUAGAUAUGUGGAGGAAUACCGAUGGCGAAGGCAGCCCCCUCGGGAUAACACUGACGCUCAUGCACGAAAGCGUGGGGAGGCAAACAGGAUUAGAUACCCCUGU